rnacentral:misc_RNA from 1 species
GUGAUCAUCAAAUCUUUGAACGCAAAUUGCACUCUCUUCGGAGAGUAUGCCUGUUUGAGGGUCAGUAUUAAUAAAAAUCGGUGUGUUGCUUCUUUGUGACGCUCCGGAGUUUGGGUCAUCUUAAUAUCCUUUAGGUUUUAAGAGGCUUAAAAUUGACUUUUUUUGCGCAUUUUAGAUGUACAUAAAUUCUUUUUUUUAUUGUUUUUUUUUAUUGCUAAAAAUCUAUUUGGUUGCAAC